CGAUGUCUACUUGGAGGUUGUGGCCUUGAGCCGUGGCUUUCGGAGCUAACGCGUUAAGUAGACCGCCUGGGGAGUACGGUCGCAAGAUUAAAACUCAAAUGAAUUGACGGGGGCCCGCACAAGCGGUGGAGCAUGUGGUUUAAUUCGAUGCAACGCGAAGAACCUUACCUACUCUUGACAUCCUCAGAAGCUUGUAGAGAUACGAGUGUGCCUUCGGGAACUGAGAGACAGGUGCUGCAUGGCUGUCGUCAGCUCGUGUUGUGAAAUGUUGGGUUAAGUCCCGCAACGAGCGCAACCCUUAUCCUUGUUUGCCAGCACUUCGGGUGGGAACUCCAGGGAGACUGCCGGUGAUAAACCGGAGGAAGGUGGGGACGACGUCAAGUCAUCAUGGCCCUUACGAGUAGGGCUACACACGUGCUACAAUGGCGCAUACAGAGGGCGGCCAACUUGCGAGAGUGAGCGAAUCCCAAAAAGUGCGUCGUAGUCCGGAUUGGAGUCUGCAACUCGACUCCAUGAAGUCGGAAUCGCUAGUAAUCGUGGAUCAGAAUGCCACGGUGAAUACGUUCCCGGGCCUUGUACACACCGCCCGUCACACCAUGGGAGUGGGCUGCAAAAGAAGUGGGUAGUUUAACCUUUGGGGGGACGCUCACCACUUUGUGGUUCAUGACUGGGGUGAAGUCGUAACAAGGUAGCGCUAGGGGAACCUGGCGCUG
rnacentral:rRNA from 1 species